AACGAACGCUGGCGGCAUGCCUAACACAUGCAAGUCGAACGAAGACUUCGGACUUAGUGGCGCACGGGUGAGUAACACGUGGGAAUAUACCUUACGCUGGGGCAUAACAUCGGGAAACUGAUGCUAAUACCGCAUACGCCCUUCGGGGGAAAGAUUUAUCGGCGAAAGAUUAGCCCGCGUCCGAUUAGCUAGUUGGUGAGGUAAUGGCUCACUAAGGCUCCGAUCGGUAGCUGGUCUGAGAGGAUGACCAGCCACACUGGGACUGAGACACGGCCCAGACUCCGACGGGAGGCAGCAGUGGGGAAUAUUGGACAAUGGGCGCAAGCAUGAUCCAGCCAUGCCGCGUGAGUGAUGAAGGCCUGAGGGUUGUAAAGCUCUUUCACCCACGACGAUGAUGACGGUAGUGGGAGAAGAAGCCCCGGCUAACUUCGUG
rnacentral:rRNA from 1 species